rnacentral:tRNA from 1 species
GGGGCGAUGGCGGAAUAGGCAGACGCCGGGGACUUAAAAUCCUCUGGGGCGCAAGCCCCGUGUGGGUUCGACUCCCACUCGCCCCA